AUGCGCUGGAGAUGCAAAACAUUGGAGCUGUUACUCUGGGUCAGAAACAAGUCCAUCUGGCCGAGACCUUCUCCCCAGGAGCCCACACGUACUGGGAGCUUCCACUUGCUCACUCACUUGCUCACUGUGACCCAUCUCUUCCUUGGCCAGAGGUUCUUCCCAGCGCUCCCGGAUCCUUCAGGGUCCCCUCGUCCCAUUCCCGGUGUAGAGAGGCACAGGGCGUUGAUAGAGCUGUUAUCCUGGGGGCACAGCAGCUCUGCAGUGCGGGCAGGAGCAGUGCUGUGGCACACUGCUGGAAUGACACUCCUGCCAUCGAGUGUGCAGUACAGAGUGCCUUCAAACAGUGCUGCUCAGUCAGUGUGCAGGCUGCACCUCUCUGCACACGUUAGCAAGUGGGCAUUCAGAACAAGCCAGUGGCUCCGCCGGUGCCUCGCUGCAGUUUCCAGCAGAAGAAAAUGGAUUUUAUAGGAAAUCCUGAACGCAGAACCUGGGCUUUCCCAUGCUUCUUAAACACCAGUGCCUACAGAAGCCCAGUCCCCAGUGCUGGUGCUGCCGUGCCCCGAUUUCAGGUGGGAUAGUGCUGAACCAAGUUCUGAAGCAGAAGCCGAGGGCUCCGAGUCUGACUGCCAUCACUGGGUGUCCUGUGACUGAUGCGGCUGCCACUGCUUGCAUGCAGCUGAGCAGAACAAGGAGCAGGGACCAUGUAGCCCUGGUUGUGUGAGAAAAACCAGGAGUGACCGAUGGAAAAUGAGCAGGGAGAGUAGGAGGACGGGGUCCUCUUGCUUUGUCGGCCAGAACAAAGGUCUGCCAGGACCCCAAGCACCCUGCUGCAAGCAGCAUGACCCGAAGCUCAGAACACCGAGGGGAAAAGGUGGGGAAAAACUGAAGACAGCACAGUUUGUUGGUGAGGCUGAAUCCAGGCACUGAAAUAGCAGGCCCUGCACUGAGGCUGCCUCGUGUUCCCUGUUAGCAGCAUCUCUCCAGCUGAUUAAAAAAGGACAAAUUCUGUUCUUCCGUCCUACAAUUUUCAUUGUUUCUGUUUGCCCGCAGCUGGCUCCCUGCUCCAUACAUUUUAAUGCUUGAGAAUUUUAGACCGUGAAUUAACAUUUUGGAGAGAGUCCUGGAGUCAGAGGCACGUACCUGCUGCUGGAAUGGAGUUCCA
rnacentral:lncRNA from 1 species